AUGCUGAUAAUUGAGCCGUCAGCGAGGAAAUACGUCCGUGGGCUCGUGGAGGGGGACACCACCGCGUCCCCGGAGCAGGGGGUGCCACUGCCGCGUCCCUGCCGAGGCCGUCACGGCUGGGGCCUCGCGGCGCCUCCCGGGGAUUUGGGAAGAGCUGCCCUGCCACCGCUUAUGUGUCCUUUCUCCCAGGGGUUUCGCCCCCGGGAGGGGAGGAUGCCCCAGGACAUGCAACGUGCGACGGCCCGAAGCGCRGGGACCGCCGAGCCGGGGCGCCGAAUUUCCCGGCUGUUCCCGAGCGGGCCCCCGCCGGGUUUCCGGCGCGGCGCCCAGUUUGCAGUUUAUUUAUUGCCUUGCCAGGCUUCAGCGGCGCCGGCGCUGCUCCGGGCUGCAUUGCAUCGGCAGCUGCUGCUGGGAAGGAGGGUUGGGGRAAACCGGCCACGUGCUGUCGUGCAUCAUGACGGCCGCUCGGCGGGGAAGCGCCAGCGCGAUGCUGCUGAAAGCCAGGUGUCUGCCCUGCAGCACAGACGGGCUUUAGUGGGUUUCCUCUUCUUUCAGGGAAAAAAAAAAGCAAAAAAAAUAAAAAGCACAAAACCCGCCCACACACCGUCCAAAAGUUACGAGUGUUUGCGAAAGCUCUGCGUGCUCGGGGGUGUCACAGGCGUCUCGUUUGCAGCCUGCCCUUCGCGCACUGUGGGGGAGCCCGGGCGAUGCGCGCUCCCACAGCACGGCACGGCACGGCACGGCACGGCACGGCGGGCGACGUGCUCCCCCCGCGUGGCUCGCCGCCCUCCCGCGGGUCCCUGCCGCUCGCAGCGGCGCCCGGCCGCUUAUCGCUCCGCUUGCCGCCCGGUAUCUCGUCCCCAGGCAGCCGCGAGUCCCCGGCUCGGGACAUUAAUCCAGCACGCGCCAGAAGCUUAUCCAAACAGGGAAUCUUCUCCGGUGAUUCUUAAACAAAACUUGAUAAAUCCUUCACACGAGCGCGGAAGGGCUUUCCUCUCCGAAGGGCCCCUCUCGGCGCUGAUGAGCGAUAACGGCUCCUGCGCUGCACAUCUUCAUUUGCUCCACGUUUCCUCCCCGGGAGCCCCAGCUGAGCACGUUCGCGCUCGCCUCUUCCUUGCUCUCGCUGGGUUUUUUUCCCUGCUGUCGCGGCGGGGUGACGCUGGCGGGGAGCUCCCGGCCGYGGGGACUCGCUGCGGGAUGCCGCGCCGGCCGCUCGCGCCCCAGGCGACGGUGCUGUUUCGGCCCGGUCUCGGUGCUCAGCCCCAGGGCCAGGGAGCGCGUCGCUGCGCAGCGCCGUGCCGGGGGCUGGCGGAGGUGGCACGGCCGGGUCCCCACGGUGCUCCCAGGACCUUUCCCCAGGACCAUCCUUUCUCCAGGACCAUCCUUUCCCCGGGGUCAUCCUUUCUCCAGGACCAUCCUUUCUCCAGGGCCAUCCUUUCUCCAGGGCCAUCCUUUCUCCAGGACCAUCCUUUCCCUGGGACCAUCCUUUCCCUGGGGCCAUCCUUUCUCCAGGACCAUGCUUUCUCCAGGGCCAUCCUUUCUCCAGGACCAUCCUUUCCCCAGGGCCAUCCUUUCCCCAGGACCAUCCUUUCUCCAGGACCAUCCUUUCCCCGGGGUCAUCCUUUCUCCAGGACCAUCCUUUCCCCAGGGCCAUCCUUUCUCCAGGACCAUCCUUUCUCCAGGGCCAUCCUUUCUCCAGGGCCAUCCUUUCUCCAGGACCAUCCUUUCUCCAGGGCUAUCCCCUCCUGCAGCUCUGCCUCACACCAACUCGGCCAGCAGCGACGUCCGCCUGCCUCCCCGCCGGCCCCCCCCGGCCCGCUGCUUUUCUUGCAGCAGCCCCCAGGCCUCCGUCCUCUGUCCCAGGGCUGCUUCGCCGGGAACUGCUCCCCCUCCGCUCGGCCCUAG
ensembl:lncRNA